GGCAUGGGUUGCAUGUAGGCAGUUGGCGGGGUAACGGCCCACCAAACCGACGAUGGAUAGGGGUUCUGAGAGGAAGGUCCCCCACAUUGGUACUGAGACACGGACCAAACUCCUACGGGAGGCAGCAGUGAGGAAUAUUGGUCAAUGGCCGAGAGGCUGAACCAGCCAAGUCGCGUGAAGGAUGAAGGAUCUAUGGUUUGUAAACUUCUUUUAUAGGGGAAUAAAGUGUGGGACGUGUCCCAUUUUGUAUGUACCCUAUGAAUAAGCAUCGGCUAACUCCGUGCCAGCAGCCGCGGUAAUACGGAGGAUGCGAGCGUUAUCCGGAUUUAUUGGGUUUAAAGGGUGCGUAGGUGGUAAUUUAAGUCAGCGGUGAAAGUUUGUGGCUCAACCAUAAAAUUGCCGUUGAAACUGGGUUACUUGAGUGUGUUUGAGGUAGGCGGAAUGCGUGGUGUAGCGGUGAAAUGCAUAGAUAUCACGCAGAACUCCAAUUGCGAAGGCAGCUUACUAAACCAUAACUGACACUGAAGCACGAAAGCGUGGGUAUCAAACAGGAUUAGAUACCCUGGUAGUCCACGCAGUAAACGAUGAUUACUAGGAGUUUGCGAUACACAGUAAGCUCUACAGCGAAAGCGU
rnacentral:rRNA from 1 species